AUGCAAGUGGAAGAAGGAUUGGCCGGUGCUGCUGGCUGGCGUCAAGUUCGAUCCCACAGAUCAGGAGCUGAUCGAGCAACUUUAGGCCAAAGUAUCACACUGAGUGGCCUAAGCAAGCAUUUCUUCCAGCGCAAUUCCAGGGCAUUCAAAAGGGGCACGUGGACGCGUCGCGAGAUACAGUCGGAGUGCGGCAUGCACGCGAUGUGGCACAACACCGGCAAUACCUUGUCGGUGAUUGUCAACGGCCGACAGAUGGGCAACAAAAAGGUUCUGGUGCUGCACACCAACAAGAACUUCGACCAGCAGAGGACCAACUGGGUGAUGCACCAGUACCACCUCGGGGACCUGGAGCAAGAGAAGGAGCGGGAGCUGGUCCUCUGCAAGAUUUUCUACCAGACAAACACUAGGGCCAGGAGUAAAAAGAUUAUAAGUCGAGCAAAUUUCAACUGGGCUGUAGACUGCCCAGGCUUGGUUUUGUUUUUAACAGGCCCAGCCCAUGAUGACAACGGGGCACAAAGAUCCAGCAGUUGA
rnacentral:rRNA from 1 species